rnacentral:rRNA from 1 species
GGUUAAGCGACUAAGCGUACACGGUGGAUGCCCUGGCAGUCAGAGGCGAUGAAGGACGUGCUAAUCUGCGAUAAGCGUCGGUAAGGUGAUAUGAACCGUUAUAACCGGCGAUUUCCGAAUGGGGAAACCCAGUGUGUUUCGACACACUAUCAUUAACUGAAUCCAUAGGUUAAUGAGGCGAACCGGGGGAACUGAAACAUCUAAGUACCCCGAGGAAAAGAAAUCAACCGAGAUUCCCCCAGUAGCGGCGAGCGAACGGGGAGCAGCCCAGAGCCUGAAUCAGUGUGUGUGUUAGUGGAAGCGUCUGGAAAGGCGCGCGAUACAGGGUGACAGCCCCGUACACAAAAAUGCACAUGCUGUGAGCUCGAUGAGUAGGGCGGGACACGUGGUAUCCUGUCUGAAUAUGGGGGGACCAUCCUCCAAGGCUAAAUACUCCUGACUGACCGAUAGUGAACCAGUACCGUGAGGGAAAGGCGAAAAGAACCCCGGCGAGGGGAGUGAAAAAGAACCUGAAACCGUGUACGUACAAGCAGUGGGAGCACGCUUAGGCGUGUGACUGCGUACCUUUUGUAUAAUGGGUCAGCGACUUAUAUUCUGUAGCAAGGUUAACCGAAUAGGGGAGCCGAAGGGAAACCGAGUCUUAACUGGGCGUUAAGUUGCAGGGUAUAGACCCGAAACCCGGUGAUCUAGCCAUGGGCAGGUUGAAGGUUGGGUAACACUAACUGGAGGACCGAACCGACUAAUGUUGAAAAAUUAGCGGAUGACUUGUGGCUGGGGGUGAAAGGCCAAUCAAACCGGGAGAUAGCUGGUUCUCCCCGAAAGCUAUUUAGGUAGCGCCUCGUGAAUUCAUCUCCGGGGGUAGAGCACUGUUUCGGCAAGGGGGUCAUCCCGACUUACCAACCCGAUGCAAACUGCGAAUACCGGAGAAUGUUAUCACGGGAGACACACGGCGGGUGCUAACGUCCGUCGUGAAGAGGGAAACAACCCAGACCGCCAGCUAAGGUCCCAAAGUCAUGGUUAAGUGGGAAACGAUGUGGGAAGGCCCAGACAGCCAGGAUGUUGGCUUAGAAGCAGCCAUCAUUUAAAGAAAGCGUAAUAGCUCACUGGUCGAGUCGGCCUGCGCGGAAGAUGUAACGGGGCUAAACCAUGCACCGAAGCUGCGGCAGCGACACUGUGUGUUGUUGGGUAGGGGAGCGUUCUGUAAGCCUGUGAAGGUGUGCUGUGAGGCAUGCUGGAGGUAUCAGAAGUGCGAAUGCUGACAUAAGUAACGAUAAAGCGGGUGAAAAGCCCGCUCGCCGGAAGACCAAGGGUUCCUGUCCAACGUUAAUCGGGGCAGGGUGAGUCGACCCCUAAGGCGAGGCCGAAAGGCGUAGUCGAUGGGAAACAGGUUAAUAUUCCUGUACUUGGUGUUACUGCGAAGGGGGGACGGAGAAGGCUAUGUUGGCCGGGCGACGGUUGUCCCGGUUUAAGCGUGUAGGCUGGUUUUCCAGGCAAAUCCGGAAAAUCAAGGCUGAGGCGUGAUGACGAGGCACUACGGUGCUGAAGCAACAAAUGCCCUGCUUCCAGGAAAAGCCUCUAAGCAUCAGGUAACAUCAAAUCGUACCCCAAACCGACACAGGUGGUCAGGUAGAGAAUACCAAGGCGCUUGAGAGAACUCGGGUGAAGGAACUAGGCAAAAUGGUGCCGUAACUUCGGGAGAAGGCACGCUGAUAUGUAGGUGAAGUCCCUCGCGGAUGGAGCUGAAAUCAGUCGAAGAUACCAGCUGGCUGCAACUGUUUAUUAAAAACACAGCACUGUGCAAACACGAAAGUGGACGUAUACGGUGUGACGCCUGCCCGGUGCCGGAAGGUUAAUUGAUGGGGUUAGCGCAAGCGAAGCUCUUGAUCGAAGCCCCGGUAAACGGCGGCCGUAACUAUAACGGUCCUAAGGUAGCGAAAUUCCUUGUCGGGUAAGUUCCGACCUGCACGAAUGGCGUAAUGAUGGCCAGGCUGUCUCCACCCGAGACUCAGUGAAAUUGAACUCGCUGUGAAGAUGCAGUGUACCCGCGGCAAGACGGAAAGACCCCGUGAACCUUUACUAUAGCUUGACACUGAACAUUGAGCCUUGAUGUGUAGGAUAGGUGGGAGGCUUUGAAGUGUGGACGCCAGUCUGCAUGGAGCCGACCUUGAAAUACCACCCUUUAAUGUUUGAUGUUCUAACGUUGACCCGUAAUCCGGGUUGCGGACAGUGUCUGGUGGGUAGUUUGACUGGGGCGGUCUCCUCCUAAAGAGUAACGGAGGAGCACGAAGGUUGGCUAAUCCUGGUCGGACAUCAGGAGGUUAGUGCAAUGGCAUAAGCCAGCUUGACUGCGAGCGUGACGGCGCGAGCAGGUGCGAAAGCAGGUCAUAGUGAUCCGGUGGUUCUGAAUGGAAGGGCCAUCGCUCAACGGAUAAAAGGUACUCCGGGGAUAACAGGCUGAUACCGCCCAAGAGUUCAUAUCGACGGCGGUGUUUGGCACCUCGAUGUCGGCUCAUCACAUCCUGGGGCUGAAGUAGGUCCCAAGGGUAUGGCUGUUCGCCAUUUAAAGUGGUACGCGAGCUGGGUUUAGAACGUCGUGAGACAGUUCGGUCCCUAUCUGCCGUGGGCGCUGGAGAACUGAGGGGGGCUGCUCCUAGUACGAGAGGACCGGAGUGGACGCAUCACUGGUGUUCGGGUUGUCAUGCCAAUGGCACUGCCCGGUAGCUAAAUGCGGAAGAGAUAAGUGCUGAAAGCAUCUAAGCACGAAACUUGCCCCGAGAUGAGUUCUCCCUGACUCCUUGAGAGUCCUGAAGGAACGUUGAAGACGACGACGUUGAUAGGCCGGGUGUGUAAGCGCAGCGAUGCGUUGAGCUAACCGGUACUAAUGAACCGUGAGGCUUAACCUU